GACGAACGCUGGCGGCGUGCUUAACACAUGCAAGUCGAACGGAAAGGCCCUGCGUUUGUGGGGUGCUCGAGUGGCGAACGGGUGAGUAACACGUGAGUAACCUGCCCUUGACUGUGGGAUAACUUCAGGAAACUGGGGCUAAAACCGGAUAGGAGAUCCUGCUGCAUGGUGGGGGUUGGAAAGUUUCGGCGUUUGGGGAUGGACUCGCGGCUUAUCAGCUUGUUGGUGGGGUAGUGGCUUACCAAGGCUUUGACGGGUAGCCGGCCUGAGAGGGUGACCGGCCACAUUGGGACUGAGCUACGGCCCAGACUCCUACGGGAGGCAGCAGUGGGGAAUAUUGCACACUGGGCGGAAGCCUGAUGCAGCAACGCCGCGUGCGGGAUGUCGGCCUUCGGGUUGUAAACCGCUUUCGCCUGUGACGAAGCGUGAGUGACGGUAAUGGGUAAAGAAGCACCGGCUAACUACGUG
rnacentral:rRNA from 1 species